AGGUGAGUGUUCAUUUGCAAGUGACUUUCUGAAACCAAAUCUACCCUUCUUUUAAUAUAAAUGAACAUGCAUUUUGGGAUAUUAUACCAUGUACACUGGUUCAAUUGGUGUUUGUUUUUGUCUGUAUCCUGUAUGUUUAUGUAAUAGUUGAUGAGGCAGGAAGAACUAUUUGAUGUCAGUUAAGAAAUUAUUUUAUGCAGUCACGAAAAUAAUAAUGAUUAUACAAAGGAAGAUACUCUUUGGAACUCCAAUCAAUCACCAUGAUGAUCUUUUAUCUCCUUUCAGUGAUCCAACAUAGAAUGUUUUAUCUUCUGGGAAAGCAUCAAAAUCAAAACUAAUAAAACCCUUUUCAAAGCAAAAGGUAUUCUGAAAUUUAGCAUCAACACUCUUCCUAAUAUAAUGGGAAGCAGGAAUAGUAUAUUGCGAAUGUUGUCAGAAGAGUUUCACAAUGAGAAAGGUGUUCAUUGGUCAUUCAUGAAUCAUGACUCAAACUGUAUUGUAAAUUAUGUAUGAUAGAACGGAUGAUAGGGUAUGUGAUGUAUAGUAUGACUCCUAACUAAAUCAUUACCUUCCAAUUAUUUUUAUUUAGCUUAAUGUAAUAGAAAAACGAAUUAGAAAACAUACAAGGACAUUUGUUGUUUCUGGUCUCUAUGAAGAACUAACAUAUCCCACAUAUGCUUCACAAGUAAAUAUAAUACUUCCCUUUCUUUCCCAUGCACACACUGAAAUUUGAAGGCAAAGUUGUGUUUUGUCAUGACUAUACGCCAACAUUUUGAAGCACCAAAAUUUAAUUAUGACUCUUGGAUAACAAGAUUGUUAAGAUGUUUUUUCUUUAACUUUGGGAUCAGAUUAAAUAAUCUGAUCUGUGACUGCAUUGAAUGAUCCUUGAAUGUGUGUAGAUUGUCUAAUAAUUUGAAUUUAUAUUAUUUAUCAAAAGAGCAUUUUUGCUAUUGGCAUGAUUUGUUGUAAUGCCAAAGGACGUUUCAAUGAGAAGUCAGUCAUGUUGCAGAGCAGGUAAUAGUCUCCACGUGCCAUCAAUACACAUGCAUCUGGUAACUCAUCUGAGUUUCAGAUUGAUGUCUGUGUGUGGGUGUGACGGGUUUCUUUUAUAAACAUGUAAAAGACAUUCACAAUAAUAAAGUCAGACUAUUCAACUUGACUAGAGCUUUUGCUAUUGAGUGGAAUGCUGUGAUACAAUUCUUAACAAUUUGUGAUCUAUUAUGUAUUUAGGGAAUUAAUGGGAGAUUUUAGGUUAAAUCAUGUAUGGCAUUGACUGUGUUUAAGGGAGACAUUACAUUAUAUUUUUGUCUUUUCAAUUAUAUCUAUCAUAAUGGGUCUGUUUUCUAAUAACUUGCCAGGUUAGUAAUGUAAAUUUGAUGGGUUGUUUUAAAUGUGUAAAUAUAGCAUAUUUACAAGUUAUAAAUGGAAGAUUUUAUGUUGAUAGGUAGUUGGUAUUCGAGGCAUAAUUCUAGUGGACAUUGCUUUAUUGCAUCUAAAUUGGUGAAUUCUUUACCUGUUGCUGAUGAGAAUUUGAAUUCUCUGAAGAAGCAAGCUAUUGAUAAAGAGAGUCAACUGAUACGAUUUGUAAACAGAGAGAGUUAUUAAUGGUUUUAUUUGAAGAUAAGCAAUGAAAUUUUCUAGUGGACCAAUUCAAACAGGAGUUCUACAAGUUAUAUUCAGGCAUAUCGUGAUCGGAUUUAUGUUGGUAAUGUUCAAGAGUUACGUUCUAUGUUAUAUCCAUAUGUAGCUUACGUUCGUACUGGUUUCUCAUGUGGAAACAUAGAAGGGUUUUUAUCACUGCUAAUUGGUAUCUUAGUUUAUGCAUUAAUUACGGUGGAUGCAUUCACCACAGUUUUAGAAUUGUUGUGAAUCCAUAGCUGUUGAAUAUCCACAUUUGGUGACUUGAGCUU